rnacentral:rRNA from 1 species
UAGGGAAUCUUCCACAAUGGACGCAAGUCUGAUGGAGCAACGGCCGCGUGAGUGAAGAAGGUUUUCGGACCGUAAAGCUCUGUUGUUGGUGAAGAAGGAUAGAGGUAGUAACUGGCCUUUAUUUGACGGUAAUCAACCAGAAAGUCACGGCUAACUACGUGCCAGCAGCCGCGGUAAUCGUAGGUGGCAAGCGUUGUCCGGAUUUAUUGGGCGUAAAGCGAGCGCAGGCGGAAGAAUAAGUCUGAUGUGAAAGCCCUCGGCUUAACCGAGGAAUUGCAUCGGAAACUGUUUUCUUGAGUGCAGAAGAGGAGAGUAGAACUCCAUGUGUAGCGGUGGAAUGCGUAGAUAUAUGGAAGAAUACCAGUGGCGAAGGCGGCUCUCUGGUCUGCAACUGACGCUGAGGCUCGAAAGCAUGGGUAGCGAACAGGAUUAGAUACCCUGGUAGUCCAUGCCGUAAACGAUGAGUGCUAAGUGUUGGGAGGCUUCCGCCUCUCAGUGCUGCAGCUAACGCAUUAAGCAC